rnacentral:tRNA from 2 species
GCCGCCUUAGCUCAGUGGUAGAGCAGUGGUUUUGUAAACCACAGGUCCCCGGUUCGAAUCCGGGCGGCGGCU